AUGGACAAGCAAGAUGCUUUGAAUGAAAACAUCCAGAAUAUGUUUGCCAUGUUGCUUCAGAGACUUCCUCAACCUCCAAACCCUUAGGCACUUAGGAUUUAUUUUGUUUGCUUGCCUAGUGUUUUUUGCUUCUGUCUUCUUUAGCUCUGAUAUUCUCUUGGAUCUGAUGUUUUGAUUGCCUUUGUGCCUUUGUGCUUUUGAUUAAUGAAAUGUUUUUCUCUUUAUUGUCUUGUUAUUUUUUUAUAUCUACCUUUUUG
rnacentral:lncRNA from 1 species